AGUGAACUGCGUCCGAAGCACAGGCAUAACUUGGAGAGAAUUGAAGAGAAUACAUGAUUUGGAGUUGACCCCGCAUGGAAGGCUCGAAUUAAUGAAGGA